GACGAACGCUGGCGGCGUGCUUAACACAUGCAAGUCGAACGGUAAGGCCCUGCUUUUGUGGGGUGCUCGAGUGGCGAACGGGUGAGUAACACGUGAGUAAACUGUCCUUGACUUUGGGAUAACUUCAGGAAACUGGGGCUAAUACCGGAUAGGAGCUCCUGCUGCAUGGUGGGGGUUGGAAAGUUUCGGCGGUUGGGGAUGGACGCGCGGCUUAUCAGCUUGUUGGUGGGGUAGUGGCUUACCAAGGCGUUGACGGGUAGCCGGCCUGAGAGGGUGACCGGCCACAUAGGGACUGAGAUGCGGGCCAGACUGACACGUGAGGCAGCAGGGGGGAAUAUUGCACGAUGGGCGGAAGCCGUAUGCAGCGACGCCGCGUGGUGGAGGACGGCCGUCGGGUUGGAAACCGCGUGCGCCUGGGACGAAGCGUGAGUGACGGUAAUGGGUAAAGAAGCACCGGCUAACUACGUG
rnacentral:rRNA from 1 species